rnacentral:rRNA from 1 species
UACGGAGGGUGCAAGCGUUAUCCGGAUUUACUGGGUUUAAAGGGUGCGUAGGUGGGUUGGGAAGUCAGUGGUGAAAUACUUUCGCUUAACGAAGGGACUGCCAUUGAUACUAUCAAUCUUGAAUGUAGUGGAGGUAGGCGGAAUGCGUCAUGUAGCGGUGAAAUGCUUAGAUAUGACGCAGAACACCAAUUGCGAAGGCAGCUUGCUACACUACUAUUGACACUGAGGCACGAAAGCGUGGGGAUCAAACAGG